GCCGCUUUAGCUCAGUUGGUAGAGCAAUUCAUUCGUAAUGAAGAGGUCGACAGUUCGAUUCCGUCAAGCGGCACCA
rnacentral:tRNA from 2 species